GCAAACUUGGUCAUUUAGAGGAAGUAAAAGUCGUAACAAGGUAACCGUAGGUGAACCUGCGGUUGGAUCAUUAUUGAAAUCCAAAACUUUGAACGUGGGUUGAAUUCUACAUUAUUGUAGUUUUCUUCCUACUUCAAUACCCCAAAAAACCUUUACGAUCACUUCUCUGCAAAGAGAGUGUUGUGAACUUUUUAAAUUUUUAUCCUAGAUAAACAUUUUUUUAAAACUAAUUUUUGUUUUGAAACACAAACUUUAAAACAAAAACAACUUUUGACAAUGGAUCUCUAGGCUCUCGCAUCGAUGAAGAACGCAGC
rnacentral:misc_RNA from 1 species